rnacentral:misc_RNA from 1 species
GCUUCCUGCACCUGCUCCUCAACCCGGCCCACAACGACUCCCCGCCGCCCACCCCCACGGGCCGCCGCCGCGCGCGCCGCUCCCCGCACCCCGCCGCGCCGCGGUCCCCGUCGCUCCUCGCGGGCAUCCUCUCCGACCUCGCCGAGAUCGGCGGCUCCCUCCGCGUUGGCUUCUCCUGCGCCGCGGCGCCCGACCGCCACGCCUCCGCCGUGCUCGAGUCACAGCCAGCCGCCGCGUCCCCGCCAGCUUCCCCGCCUCCUCUUGUCGCCGCCGCCGCCAAGGAAAUUGCAGAUGAUGUCGUGGGAGCAGCGCGUGCCCUCGCCGUGCAUCUCGAAGCGUGGAUCGACUUCACCGUGCUCGCCCUAGAUGACAGAGCUCGACGAAGACAACACCCGAUCUGUCAAGGAGGCAGCAACCUCUAAGAGUAACAAGCCGAUGAUGCUUGCUCGAUGUAUCACCUAGUGCCUCAAGGGUCACCAAAUGAUGCAAAUACACUCAAAGCUUUCAAUCUUUCACUAGAAUGCAAUCCCAAGCAAAAGUGUGAGAGAAUGAGUUAGAGGAUCACAAAUGAGCUUAAUGUAUGCUGGGAAUAGCCAAGAGAGUCUCACACACGAGCUCCACUUCUAUUUAUAGUCCUCCGCUCUUUUCUAGUCGUUAUGUGCAAGCAGCACACAUUCUGCAUGCACGCUGACGAUUCGUGCCUUAUGGCCGGGCGAUCCGCCACACCAGUAACGACUAUAUUUACCAUUUGAAACGUGUCAG